CAUUAACCAAAGGAUCGGAGCGUGAACAACGCGUGAUCCGAUAAACGGGGUUAAGUUGCAGUUAAUGUGAGGUCUUUUUUGCUACGUUUCCCGAGCUCUAUGAUAUGUCCUUCUUCAAACGAGGUCCCUGGCAUUACUGAAGUCUAUGGGCGACGGUAACCACUCACCAUCAGAGAUCUUUUUUGCUACGUGCCAUCCGGCUAUGGAAUGAGCACCCCUCCACGGUGUUUCCCGAGCGCUAUCACAUGUCCUUCUUCAAACUUGGAUUGUGAAAAUAUGAAGCGGUAGGCAGCGGCUUAGCUCUGCCCCCGGCAUUGCUGAAGUCCAUGAGCGACGGUGACCACUUACCAUCAGGUGGGCCGUAUGCUCGUCUGCAUAAAAAAAAAAAAAAAAAAAAAAAAAAAAAAAAAAAAAAAAAAAAAAAAAAAAAAAAACAAAAAAAAAAAAAAAAAAAAAAAAAAAAAAAAAAAAAAAAAAAAAAAAAAAAAAAAAAAAAAAAAAAAAAAAAAAAUAGUAUGACAUUAAA